UGGUGGGGGAAGAGGUUUGAAGAGCAAGUGACCCAUCCUCCAGUCAACCUUCCUCUCUGCAGCACCCCCUUGAGGUUACAAAUUGAUGAAAUUCUAGGAUAAGUCCUUGAGAUGGGAUUGUGGACUCAAAAGUUAAAUUACAGUUUGGAGCAGCACCAGCCUGGGUUGGCGUUUCCUUCGAAAGGAGAGCAUCACUUUGUAGAAGGUAAGUGAAUAUAUGCACGGAGGAGUCCAGGCAAAUUCUGUUUGCCCUAAAGUUACUUUGCCACUUAAAGAGAGGACCAUCACUGCCAGGAGACACUUAACCAAUGGUGAGUAAUGUUUCCCUUUAUGCCAUUUCUAAGUGGUUUGUUUUCCCCUUCGUACAAAAGACAGAU